UACGGGGGGGGCAAGCGUUGUUCGGAAUUACUGGGCGUAAAGGGCUCGUAGGUGGCCAACUAAGUCAGACGUGAAAUCCCUCGGCUUAACCGGGGAACUGCGUCUGAUACUGGAUGGCUUGAGGUUGGGAGAGGGAUGCGGAAUUCCAGGUGUAGCGGUGAAAUGCGUUGAGAUCGGAAGGAACGCCCGUGGCGAAAGCGAGGUCCUGGACGCCUAACUGACGCUGAGACGCGAAAGCCAGGGAGCGAACGGG
rnacentral:rRNA from 1 species